rnacentral:tRNA from 1 species
UCAGAAGAAAGAGCACAUACACCCUUACCAACAACUCCCAAAGCUACCAUUCUUAAAUUAAACUACCUUCUG